rnacentral:rRNA from 1 species
CUUGCUACANUGNUCGGUACAAAGGGUUGCCAAGCCGCGAGGUGGAGCUAAUCCCAUAAAACCGAUCGUAGUCCGGAUCGCAGUCUGCAACUCGACUGCGUGAAGUCGGAAUCGCUAGUAAUCGUGAAUCAGAAUGUCACGGUGAAUACGUUCCCGGGCCUUGUACACACCGCCCGUCACACCAUGGGAGUGGGUUGCUCCAGAAGUAGCUAGUCUAACCGCAAGGGGGACGGUUACCACGGAGUGAUUCAUGACUGGGGUGAAGUCGUAACAAGGUAGCCGUAGGGGAACCUGCGGUUGGAUCACCUCCUA